rnacentral:rRNA from 1 species
UACAGAGGGUGCAAGCGUUAAUCGGAAUUACUGGGCGUAAAGCGUGCGCAGGCGGUUAUUUAAGUCAGGGGUGAAAGCCCUGGGCUUAACCUAGGAAUUGCGCUUGAGACUGGAUAGCUUGGAGUGCGGCAGAGGGAGGUGGAAUUCCACGUGUAGCAGUGAAAUGCGUAGAGAUGUGGAGGAACACCGAUGGCGAAGGCAGCCUCCUGGGCCAGCACUGACGCUCAUGCACGAAAGCGUGGGGAGCGAACGGG